rnacentral:lncRNA from 1 species
CCGAAUCGGUGUCUGAAAUAACGAACUUCUAAUGCACCUACUACCGGUCUUCAAGUUCUCUGAAUUUUUCUGCGAAGAUUAAAAUAUGCUUUAUGUACCUAAAAAUACCCAAAAAUCCAAAAUCAGUGUUAAAAACCCUUUUCCGGCCAAUUUUGGGAUUCCAGCACGGUGGUACCACCGUGUUCCGGUGAUGGCAUUGCUGUCUGCAGUGGUG